rnacentral:lncRNA from 1 species
GGCGGGGACCCAGCCGCUCGAAAGGCUGGUUGGCUGGAGGGACCAGAGACCCUCCCCCGGGGCCGCGGGAGCACCCGUCCCCUCGAGGGCUUCCUGGGUGAGUCGUGCCCAGCCGGGAGACCGAGGCGAGGGCGGCCGGCGACCGGGGAGCGGGGCCGGCGGCUGGGGGGGCCCGUGACUCCGUGACCCGGGCUGGGCCUCGGGCGUCCUGCGAGGCCGCGUCCAUCCACAGGCCCUGGUUCCUAAAGAGCCUUUUGUGAUGGAAUUUUCACAGGCUUUGCUGAAAUGAAGUUUUCUUAAGUUUCGGUUUGGUUGUAAUGACCUUUCUUUUGUGGAAAAGUAGUGCUCGCUCAGUGGUCACCGUUUCAAACGGCUUACCUGGCAGAACAGGUUGGCGGCUCUACAUGGCUCUCCAGGGUUGUCUUAUUCUGCUUUACUAUUUAUUUUAUCUUACUUUGCUUUAUGUUCUUUUCAACGCCUUACAGAAUCCAGAUGUCUGGGAAUGAGGCUCAAGGGGAACGGCAGAGGGAGGGUCUUAGCAAAGGAGUGACGCACAUCUGCAUUUUGGAAUGAAAAGUGGUCAGGAGGACUCAAGUGAUGUGCAUCCAAUGAUGGACUUCAGAGCUUUGGGAGCACACAGAGGAAGGGGAAGCAGCCACCAUUUAUUUGGAGCUGUGCUAAUAAAAGUAGCAAAUAUUGGGCACCCCUGGUGGCUCGGCGGUUUAGCGCUGCCUUCGGCCCAGAGUGUGAUCCUGGGGACCCAAGAUCGAGUACCACGUCGGGCUCCCUGCAUGGAACCUGCUUCUCCCUCUGCCUGUGUCUCUGUCUCUCUCUCUGUGUCUAUCAUGAAUAAAUAAAUAAAAUCUUUUUAAAAAAAAAAGUCCUGAAUGUCUUUACAGUUUCUUCCUUGAGCUGUCUAGAGGGAAUUAUUUAUUUUGCCUCUUUACCUUGCAAAUAGCUAACGGCUUCCAGCCAAGGCUCAACCCAACCCUUUGUGCCCUGCAGUCAUUUCUGUGUCUUUAAAAGAAAACCGAUUCUCUGGAAUGCUGUGCGUGCACAUGCCUGCCCGACUCAGCAGGCCCCACCUGCUGAGCAGGUAAACCAGAUCCUUCUGCCGGCCUCUGCAGCCACAUUCCAGCCAGGCAAGCUCCCACUCUCUAAUUGUUACCUGUCAAACAGGUCAACCAAGCACUUGGGUCUGGUCCAAACAUGCGCAUGUUCCCACGAAACCCUAAACCUGCAAACCUUUGACCUUUCUAUAGUUCCCCCAAUUCCCUUGAUUAUUUUAACCAGGGCCGAUUUAAAUCCAAAAGAUGACUUUUUAACGGGAAAGACCUAGGUUCUUUCCUCCCCUUCUUUUCCUCCCCUAGGUUCUUUCCAUGUGCCCUUUGGGGUUUCUGGACUAGCACACCGGUCGUAAUUUAAGUUGACUGGAAGGUGAAGAUAGGGGUAGCAAAGUUCCUGAAAUGAAAUCUCCUAGCCCUAAAUCAUUCAUGGAAAUCACAGGUUGUCCACCCUGACCAAAUGGAGAGUGAAUUCCCUGGGGUGGAUAAAAAUCAAAGUGCUUCCCAGGUAAAAAUUCCCUUCCUCUCCUUUCUGGCACUGGGCUGGCAGCAGAGAUUUAUGGCCUGUGGGCUCAGCCCCAAACCUGUGACAGGUGAGACCUUGAGUAAGUCACAGCUUCCUCAGCUGUGCUCAGCUUCCUUUCUUUAGUAAAGAGUAGAAGGAGGUGACACAGGUUCUAAGGCCUCUUCCAACACUACUCAAGGUAAGGGGAUCAUGUCACAGGACUGCUGAUGCUUCUUCAGCAUCUGGGAUUGAGGUGAGAGGCAUGGGUGCUACUAGGGGAGCCCUGGA